UACGUAGGUGGCAAGCGUUGUCCGGAAUUAUUGGGCGUAAAGCGCGCGCAGGCGGCUUCUUAAGUCUGAUGUGAAAUCUCGGGCUCAACCCCGAGCGGCCAUUGGAAACUGGGAGCUUGAGUACAGAAGAGGAGGAGUGGAAUUCCACGUGUAGCGGUGAAAUGCGUAGAUAUGUGGAGGAACACCAGUGGCGAAGGCGACUCUCUGGUCUGUAACUGACGCUGAGGCGCGAAAAGCGUGGGGAGCAAACAGG
rnacentral:rRNA from 1 species